rnacentral:tRNA from 1 species
GACUCUGUAGCUCCGUUGGUUAGAGCGCUGCACCGGAAUCGCAGGGCCGUAGGUUCAAUUCCUACCAGAGGAC